rnacentral:piRNA from 1 species
UGUGUUGAUGUUCGAAGCCUGGGUAUCUG